rnacentral:rRNA from 1 species
AGAGUUUGAUCCUGGCUCAGGACGAACGCUGGCGGCGUGCCUAAUACAUGCAAGUCGAGCGCGGGAAGCAAACAGAUCUCCUUCGGGAGUGACGUUUGUGGAACGAGCGGCGGAUGGGUGAGUAUCACGUGGGCAACCUGCCUGUAAGAUCGGGAUAACUCGCGGAAACGUGAGCUAAUACCGGAUGAAGUCUUACGCCACCUGGCGUAAGGAUGAAAGAUGGCCUUUGUGCUAUCACUUACAGAUGGGCCCGCGGCGCAUUAGCUAGUUGGUAGGGUAAUGGCCUACCAAGCCGACGAUCAGUAGCCGACCUGAGAGGGUGACCGGCCACAUUGGGACUGAGACACGGCCCAAACUCCUACGGGAGGCAGCAGUGGGGAAUAUUGCACAAUGGGGGAAACCCUGAUGCAGCGACGCCGCGUGAGUGAAGAAGUAUUUCGGUAUGUAAAGCUCUAUCAGCAGGGAAGAAAAUGACGGUACCUGACUAAGAAGCCCCGGCUAACUACGUGCCAGCAGCCGCGGUAAUACGUAGGGGGCAAGCGUUAUCCGGAUUUACUGGGUGUAAAGGGAGCGUAGACGGCAAAGCAAGUCCGAAGUGAAAGCCCGGGGCUUAACCUCGGGACUGCUUUGGAAACUGUUUAGCUAGAGUGCCGGAGAGGUAAGCGGAAUUCCUAGUGUAGCGGUGAAAUGCGUAGAUAUUAGGAGGAACACCAGUGGCGAAGGCGGCUUACUGGACGGUAACUGACGUUGAGGCUCGAAAGCGUGGGGAGCAAACAGGAUUAGAUACCCUGGUAGUCC